UACGUAGGGACCAAGCGUUGUCCGGAAUCAUUGGGCGUAAAGCGCGCGUAGGUGGCUUCGUAAGUCCGUUGUGAAAGUCAAAGGCUCAACCUUUGAAAGCCGAUGGAUACUGCGGAGCUAGAGUACGGAAGAGGCGAGUGGAAUUCCUGGUGUAGCGGUGGAAUGCGCAGAUAUCAGGAGGAACACCGGUGGCGAAGGCGGAUCUCUGGGCCUUGCCUGACGCUGAGGCGCGAAAGCUAGGGGAGCGAACAG
rnacentral:rRNA from 1 species